rnacentral:rRNA from 1 species
GUCCCAGUUCGGAUCGCAGGCUGCAACCCGCCUGCGUGAAGUUGGAAUCGCUAGUAAUCGCGGAUCAGCAUGCCGCGGUGAAUACGUUCCCGGGCCUUGUACACACCGCCCGUCACACCAUGAGAGUCGGGAACACCCGAAGUCCGUAGCCUAACCGCGAAGGGGGCGCGGCCGAAGGUGGGUUCGAUAAUUGGGGUGAAGUCGUAACAAGGUACC